rnacentral:rRNA from 1 species
UACGUAGGCAGCAAGCGUUGUUCGGAAUUACUGGGCGUAAAGAGCUCGUAGGCGGCCAGUUGCGUCCGCUGUGAAAUCCCGGGGCUUAACCCCGGGCGUGCAGUGGAUACGGGCUGGCUAGAGGCAGGCAGGGGAGAACGGAAUUCCCGGUGUAGCGGUGAAAUGCGCAGAUAUCAGGAGGAACACCGGUGGCGAAGGCGGGUCUCUGGGCCGAUAUUGACGCUGAGGAGCGAAAGCGUGGGGAGCAAACAGG